rnacentral:rRNA from 1 species
AGUGAACGCUGGCGGUAGGCCUAACACAUGCAAGUCGAACGGCAGCACAGUAAGGGCUUGCUCUUACGGGUGGCGAGUGGCGGACGGGUGAGGAAUACAUCGGAAUCUACUUUUUCGUGGGGGAUAACGUAGGGAAACUUACGCUAAUACCGCAUACGACCUACGGGUGAAAGCAGGGGAUCUUCGGACCUUGCGCGAUUGAAUGAGCCGAUGUCGGAUUAGCUAGUUGGCGGGGUAAAGGCCCACCAAGGCGACGAUCCGUAGCUGGUCUGAGAGGAUGAUACAGCAACACUGGAGGUGGAACGCGGCCAGGCCUCCACGGGGAGGCGCGAGGGGGAAUAUUGGAACAUGGGGCCAAAGCCUGACCACCCCAUCCCGGGGGGGGAAAAAGGGCUUUGGGUUGUAAAGGCCUUUUGGUGGGAAAAAAAAACUAGCGGGUAAACACCCCCUUUUCGGGAGGGAACAAAAAAAAAAGGACCGGGUAACUUUGGGC